rnacentral:lncRNA from 1 species
ACAGUAAAAGGUUAUUUAUAUAUUUUUUUAAAUCAAUCUGUUGUUUUUAAUAGUAGAAGCAAAAACAAAUGCAUUUUGACAUUUAAUUUUUUAAUAUAUAAAUACAUUUAUGUAUAUAUAUUUGUGUUAAUUUCUUAGAAAACAAUUUUAUCUUUUAUUUGUUCCCUAUUUUUUUUUUUUUUUUUUUUUUAUUUCUUUUUUUUUUUAAUGACUAGCUACACUGAACUAAACAUGGAAGAAACAAUAGAAAGUAAAUGUAACAACUUAUCCGAAUUAGAUAAAGAGGAGCAGGUGUUUUUUUUGUUUACUUUUUUUUUUAACUGUUUUUAAUUGUUUGUUUUGUUUUUUUAUAAGUGCAUAUUUAUUAAUUUGUUUAUUUUAUAUAUUAUUAUUAUUAUUUUAUACAUAGGCCUUUUUCUUUCUUUCUUUUUUUUUUGUGUGGGGGGGGCAGUACAGAAAUAUUUUCAAUUUUCUGAUGAUUUUGUCUGCAACUCGAGUUUUUAUAAAAUAUCACCAAAUUUUAAAGAGGGGUACCUAGAAAAAAGAGUUGCGAAUUCUUGGUCCUGUUAUAAAAAAAGGUGGUUUCGUUUGCAAAAUAAAAAAUUGUAUUAUUUUAAAAAUAAGGAGGACACAAGACCAUGUGGUGUUCUUGAUAUAGCUUUAAUUCAUAUGAAUAUUAUUUAUGAUCAAGGAGUGGGGGGUAACAACUCUUUUCAUUUUGUUGUUGCCAACAUAUGUAAGUUUAUAUUGAAUAAAAAAAUAAUAAAAUUUUUCUUUUUUUUUAAGCACUUUUUAACUUAUAAGCACGUAUGUAUAUAUUAAUGUAUACAUAUACGUAUUAAAACCAUACCUUUUUAUUGUUGUCGUUAGGCUGUUCCGAAUCAAGAGUUCAUAAAGCUACCAAAAAUAUAAUAUCUUAUUUAACCUUAAAUCCUGUAAAUACUGAUUUCAAACUUUAUUUAAGGGUAUUUAAAUAAAAAAAAAAUUAAUAAAAAUAAAUACCA